UUGGCACCUGUGGUCACCCCCUGCCCACCCCCACAACAGCGCCUGCACAACCCUGACCUCACCCAGCCCGGAGGGGCUGCGUGACUGUUCCCCUGCCGUCUGGUGCCUUCUGCCUCCUCUCCUUUCCUGACAGGCACAGGGUGCUGGAGUCAGCCUCCCUGAAGCCUACAGACCCGGAUCAAGACCCUGAGUGCGGAGUGGACGGGAAGCAAGGGGAAGCUGUCCGGAGGUGAGCGCCCCCGCUGGCCCACACUUAGGGCGGCCCUGAGAGACAUGGGGUCCAACUCAAGUUUCUGCGGAGAAAUGUGGGUCUCUCGGAGGGUCAGUGAUUUGCCCAAAGGCAGCCAGGCCGGGCUCUAGCCCCAGGGGCCUCCCUGCACCCAGAGCUGCCUCCUAAGGGAGACUGGGCCACAGAGGAAGUUACUCGCUCCAUCCUCUGGCCCCCGAGUCCGACCCCACCACCCCUGCCCCCCUGACCUGUGGGUUUAACCAGAGUCCAGUCGGGCGAUGGUCCCUGAAAUGACACACAGUUCAUUAUUUUUA